UUUGAACCUGAGGAUAUAUGUGGGUCACCCUGGCUCCUGAUUAGAUUUAAGAAAUGCCUUGUUUUUCGUGGUUCAAUGAAGUAAACAAACUGUCCUCUUUGCCGUAGAGUUAGGAAGCACUAUAAUGUCAGGAGUAACUUUUGCUAUGAGCUGAUUUCACCCAUUCCAAAUUGAUAAUACGUUCAAAUUCAGAGAGUGUUCUUAGCCCCAAGUGGCUGUGAAGGAAGGCUGUGGCCACCUUAGAUCUUGCAGCUUUCUUUUCCUCUCCACAUAGAGCAUGAGCCAUUGUGAUGCUAUUGGUGUAUUUCAUGGUUUCUCUACACGUUGAAUUGGUGAGCGCCAUGAGGAAAUCUCUGUUCUCCCCUUUGUGUUGGAUUCAAAACCUAACAUAGAUAUGCUAUUAUGGUUUACCUGUAUCAUUCUAGCUGGUAACAUUUAAAAUUCUCAUUUAUAAACUUUCUAGGUCAUCAAAGGAGGAAACAGGUAAUAACUGAGAUACCUUUUCUCAAACUUUUUGCCAAAAUGCUCAUGAAAUUACAUAAAAAUUGUGAAAAAGGGAAGUACAACAAGCUGUAAAUUUAAGAUAGAGAGAAGCCAUAUGCUGAGGUUCACAGAGAAUGUCUACUAACGUAUCUGUCAAUGGAAUGGAUUGAGAAGUAUAUUCGUAAGAUUAUGUACCAUGUGCUUACAUGCUGAACCAGAGAAGCCCAGCUGGUGCUGAAAGAUAAUAGAAAACAAGCGUACCUUGCCUUCAUCAUUUGCCCCUGGCUAUUUUAGGACCCUGGGCCUGCCCUGACCAGAAAAGUUAACAGUUCAACUAGGAAGAAACUACCUUCUGCACCAACAAAAGUCAAAUCCAGAGUCACGUCUUCCACUCAAACUAUCAAUUGCUCUCUUUCCACAUCCAUGCGGAGACUAUGGCUCCCAGACCACAGCUAGGCCUAGAGACAAGCAGAGUCAGAAAUCGCAGCAGUUGGAGCAGGAGAGACCCCAACCCAAUGCUCAGACACCUGAACAAGCCAAAUCUCUGUGGACUUUGUAAAUAGAUUUUUUUUCCAAGUGAAGAAAAGCGCUGGCAUCAUCAGAGUGAAUAGUAGUCAGUGGAAACAUAAAGUAGCAUGACUUUGGUAAGAUAAGUUCUUUAAUUUGAUAUUUUGGUUAAAAAGUAUCUAUUUUAUUGCUUAUGAGAAUUCACUCAGGAAUUCAUGAAUUCCAACUGAGUCAAUGUAAGAAUUUUGAAAUAAAAGUUUUCUCUAUGGUGUUGGCCUUUGCUGAAGCAUUGAUCUGAAGUGUGAGAGAGGAGGAAUCUUGUGAGUUCUUCCAUGUGGUGUUCCUCAAAGGAUGGGUGUGGGAAAGAGAAACUGGAAAGUAUGCCUAUGAAGAAUGGAAGAAAUAAUUAUGCCUUUUAAAAAAUACUAUUUCAGGAAAGGGAAUAUUUUAGCAGACAUAUUUUGAUAUCCUUAAGAAAACUAAGAAGCCAUAGUCCCUGUGAGAUGGAAGUCAGGGGCCAUGAGGAGAAAACAGAUUGGGAUGCAAUCUUCAGUCUAAAUCAUAGUCUUUUGUCUCCUUUACAUUGAUAGUUAUACUGUAAUAUUUAUCUUUGAUGAAUUUAGGUCUAUACCCACCAUAGUUUUUCAAAAGAAAAAAAAAAUGUGACAGAGGAAAUUUGGAGAAAACCCAUAAUAUUGUGGUACAAAUAUUUGGUUCCUUGGGAAAAUUUUGCUGCCACCUGAUUUUUAACAAAAUCAGAAGACCCAGGUGUUGGCCAGGGCAGAAUUAACAUCCUCC
ensembl:lncRNA